rnacentral:misc_RNA from 1 species
UCCCAGUAAGAACCCCUGAUGCCAGUGGACUCCAUGUAGUGAGACCAAUGCCAUAGGUGCUGUAUAGAGGUAGAUAUUCGGAUUCAACCUUGUGCCGCGACAGCAAAUUAUACUCCGGCUGCUCGACAAUCGGCCCCACCAGAUCCAACCUCUGCGCCGCCCCCCACGCCUCCGUAAUCUGCUGUGCCGACCACUCCGACGUCCCCCAG